rnacentral:miRNA from 1 species
UCAAAACUGAACCGAAAAUGCAAGACUUGCUUUAAUUGUUUUCCUUCAAUUUCUUUCUGUAUUAUUUACUAUAAUGGAUUCAUGUUAUUUACACUGUGCUAGAUCAAUACAUAUAAACACUGACAGAAAACAAUUAGAGCAAGUCUUGCAUUUUCGGUUCAGUUUUGA